rnacentral:rRNA from 1 species
GACGAACGCUGGCGGCGUGCUUAACACAUGCAAGUCGAACGCUGACGGCCGAGCUUGCUCGGUCUGAUUAGUGGCGAACGGGUGAGUGUCACGUGAGCAAACUGCCCUUCACUGUGGGAUAACACCGGGAAAUCGGGGCGAAUACCGCACAUGAGCACCUGUCACAUGGGGGGUGUGGGAAAAUUUUUCGGUGAAGGAUGGGCUCGCGGCCUAUCAGUUUGUUGGUGAGGUAGUGGCGCAACAAGGCGAGGACGGGUAGCCGGCAUGGGAGGGCGACCGGGCACACUGGGACUGAGACAGGGCCCAGAGGCCUACGGGAGGCAGCAGUGGGGAAUAUUGCGCAAUGGGCGGAAGCCUGAUGCAGCGACGCCGGGUGGGGGAUGACGGCCUUCGGGUUGUAAACCUCGUUCAGCAGGGAAGAAGCGAAAGUGACGGUACCUGCAGAAGAAGCGCCGGCUAACUACGUG